AAUCCAGGGAGACUAACAAGAUGUUCCUGACCUGCCAUUGCAGGACUUUACUCCCCUCUGGACAGGAAUGCUGUGGUUCUUCUCAUGGUAGCAGAAUUUAGGACUCAAGGCUCUGUCUUGCCAAUGGGCUCCUGCCCUUUUCCAAACAUGGUAAGAGGCAGUCUUAGCUUCUUAGCUGUGCUACCAUCAGUCCCCAGCCCAAAGUUUCUUCAAUGUACACCUGACAGGUGGAAUAUGGUGAUUUUAGCUACAUACUUACCCCACUCUCCAACUACCUGGUACAGCCAGCAGACCACGGCUGGGCCACAGCACAGUCCUAGGACAGUCUGAGCUCAGUCCUGAAGAGGGAACCCCAGCUCAACCUAACCCACUUUGGAACCAGCACUGGGCCUGAUUCUGGAUCUGCCAUCCUUUAGAUGUUUCGAUUCCAAC
rnacentral:lncRNA from 1 species